AAGGGAGGUGUUUAUUUUUUGAGAGCUUUGAACUCAAUUCUAGUUCAGAGUAUUGAGUUAUUGUGUGUAGGCUGUUAUAUCCUGGAUGGAACAAGUCAAGGUGUAUUACUGCUGGACCGGAGAAAUAAUUACCAAAGUGGGCUUGAAUCUCCUUAAAAGUGUUGGUGAUAUUACAAUAAAAUUGCAAUAAUAUUACAAUGAUUCACAAUAAAUUACAACUGAAAAUUAUAAAAUAAUAAAGAAAAAUAUGUUUCUUCUUCUAUGGCUUCGGUCCAGCAGUAAUAUUCGUUGACCUGUCCCCUCCAGGAUACAACAGUCUAUACACAAUAACUCAAAACUUUGGACUAGAAUUGAGUUCAAAGCUCUAAAAAAUAAACACCACCCUUUAACUAAUAAACUCUCUUUAUUUAUAUUUUUCUUUCUCUGCACUAUAUUUG
rnacentral:lncRNA from 1 species